rnacentral:lncRNA from 1 species
UUCAAGUUUAUGGAACCCAUUCCUCAUCAUUAGGCUGAAGAUGCAGAUAAGAAAGGACGAGCCUUUUUCUGGAGCUUGUCACAUCAAUGUUGCUUCUUAGGUGAUUAAAAAGAAAGCAGCGAGGAUCUUGGAGAAAACGUCUGACAAAAGUUGGAAAAUCCCCACUGAAUGAAUUUUUUUGAAAAAGUAAAUGUAUCCUGGGAACAUGCCGUUCAGGAUUUUGGAAAAGGAACUUGAUAUUUUGCUGCUAAAAUUAGUUGGAGUUGGGAGG